CCGUAACUAUAACGGUCCUAAGGUAGCGAAAUUCCUUGUCGGGUAAGUUCCGACCCGCACGAAAGGCGUAAUGAUUUGAGCACUGUCUCGACAAUGCAUCCGGUGAAAUUGAAGUACCAGUGAAGAUGCUGGUUACCCGCGCCAGGACGGAAAGACCCCAUGGAGCUUUACUCCAGUUUGGUACUGGGAUUCGGUACUGCAUGUACAGGAUAGGUGGGAGACUAAGAACUUGGGACGCCAGUUUCAAGGGAGUCGCUGUUGGGAUACCACCCUUGCAGUAUUGGAUUUCUAACCAGCUGCCGUGACCCGGCAGUGGGACAAUGUCUGGCGGGGAGUUUGACUGGGGCGGUCGCCUCCGAAAGGGUAUCGGAGGCGCUCAAAGGUUCCCUCAGAAUGGUUGGAAACCAUUCGAAGAGUGCAAAGGCAGAAGGGAGCUUGACUGCGACACCGACGGGUGGAGCAGGUACGAAAGUAGGACUUAGUGAUCCGGUGGCAUAAAGUGGGAUUGCCAUCGCUCAACGGAUAAAAGCUACCCUGGGGAUAACAGGCUUAUCACUCCCAAGAGUUCACAUCGACGGAGUGGUUUGGCACCUCGAUGUCGGCUCAUCGCAUCCUGGGGCUGUAGUAGGUCCCAAGGGUUGGGCUGUUCGCCCAUUAAAGCGGUACGCGAGCUGGGUUCAGAACGUCGUGAGACAGUUCGGUCCCUAUCUGUCGUGGGCGCAGGAUAUUUGAUGGGAGCUGUUCCUAGUACGAGAGGACCGGAGCGGACGUACCUCUGGCGCACCAGUUGUUCUGCCAAGGGCAUAGCUGGGCAACUAUGUACGGAUCGGAUAAACGCUGAAAGCAUCUAAGCGUGAAGCCGACCCAAAGAUAAGAUAUCCCAUUGUUUCAAACAAGUAAGACCCCUUGAAGACUACAAGGUUGAUAGGCACGAUGUGUAAGUGGAGUGAUCCAUUCAGCAAGCGUGUACUAAUAGGUCGAGGGCUUGACCAC
rnacentral:rRNA from 1 species